GUCCAGCUGCAGGCUUGGGCGUUCCCGUCAUGACACAAAAACGCCCAUCGGGCGUUUCCGUCACGACACAAAAACGCCCAUCAGGCGUUCCUGUAGCGUUUCAUCGAUCAAUCAAGAAGAGGUGAGUGAGUUUCGCAAGGCAUGCUGGGUAUGCUACCCUUCCUUUUUGGCGGUUUUACCUCGUAGUAACUUUCCAGAAAAACGAAAGGGUUAUGAUGAGAGAUUAUGUCAUACCCUGGCACAUGCUUUGUCCAAUGGACCAUGGAAGGGACUUUACUUGGCUGACGAGGACGCACCUCACCAGUAUCAGAGCAACAGCUGUGGGGUGUUUAUGCUGAUGGGGGACAUGCUCUAUCAGGAGGUGGUGGUUGGACAGCUGUUGGAGACCUUUAUGCUUGAAAGGUUUAUAUACUGUGUCCAUGUUGCUAUUUACUUAUUUUUGGUGCUCACGAAGAUCGUAGCCAAUACACUUGUCUCUCUGUCUCUAGCCCUGCAGAACUAGCUGGCUCCUUCUCACCCUCUC